rnacentral:lncRNA from 1 species
UCUUAGGACGAAGACCCCAUUCAAACCUUCUUGUCUUUAUAUCUUCAUAUGUCAUGCUCUCAUGAGAGUACCGAUCUAACUCUAGGAAUUUCUAAGCAUAUUCUGAUACUGACAAAUCUCUCUUGACCAUGUGUAUAAACUCUAUUUCUUUCAGAUGUCGGAAGUGUUUUGGAAGGUACUCAAUAUUGAAGGUUGUCAAAAAUUAUUCUCAAGUGACUGGAGUUGGUAGAGUAGCCUGCUUAAGUUGCCCCCAACAACUUGCCUCACCUACGAGCAUGUAAGUGACAAGGACAACAUUAUGUUCGGAAACUACUUCAAGGGUCGCGAAGGCCUUCUCUGUCUCUGCUAACCAAUACUCAACUUCUUCAAAAGUAGAUGUUCUUGCAAAAGUAAAUGGAUUAAGUCUUUUGUACCUCUUAACGUAGUCCG